UUCCAGCUCCGCCAGUGUAUAUCUAUGCUGCUGCGGUUAAAAAGCUCGUAGUUGGAUCUUCGUGCCAGAAACUGGUCCACCUAUGUGGUGUGCACUGGCUUUCGGCACUGAACCGUCGGUUCAUCUCUUGAUGCCUUUAACCGGGUGUCCUGAGUGGCUGACAUGUUUACUUUGAAAAAAUUAGAGUGCUCAAAACAAGCGUCUCGCUUGAAUAUUCGUGCAUGGAAUAAUAGAAUAGGCCCUUGGUUCUAUUUUGUUGGUUUUCGGAGCACAAGGGAAUGAUUAAGAGGGACAGACGGGGGCAUUCGUACUCCGACGUUAGAGGUGAAAUUCUUGGAUCGUCGGAUGACGCACUACUGCGAAAGCAUUUGCCAAGAAUGUUUUCAUUAAUCAAGAACGAAAGUUAGAGGUUCGAAGGCGAUCAGAUACCGCCCUAGUUCUAACCGUAAACGAUGCGAACUAGCGAUCUGCUGAUGUUUACUCAGACUCAGCAGGGAGCUUUCCGGAAACGAAAGUUUUCAGGUUCCGGGGGAAGUAUGGUUGCAAAGCUGAAACUUAAAGGAAUUGACGGAAGGGCACCACCAGGAGUGGAGCCUGCGGCUUAAUUUGACUCAACACGGGAAAACUCACCCGGCCCGGACACCGUAAGGAUUGACAGAUUGAGAGCUCUUUCUUGAUUCGGUGGGUGGUGGUGCAUGGCCGUUCUUAGUUGGUGGAUUGAUUUGUCUGGUUUAUUCCGAUAACGAACGAGACUCCAAUCUACUAAAUAGUGGACGAAUCUUUACGUUCGAUUCACUUCUUAGAGGGACAAGCAGUGUUUAGCUGCAUGAGAAGGAGCAAUAACAGGUCUGUGAUGCCCUUAGAUGUCCGGGGCUGCACGCGCGCUACACUGAAGGAAUCAGCGUGCUAGAAAACCUUGUUUGACAUGGCUAGGUAACCCCUUGAAAAUCCUUCGUGAUUGGGAUCGGGACUUGCAAAUGUGUCCCUUGAACGAGGAAUUCCCAGUAAGUGCGGGUCAUCAGCUCGCGUUGAUUACGUCCCUGCCCUU
rnacentral:rRNA from 1 species